UUGAAGGUGCUUGAUGUCAAAUGCUGGGAUGACGACAUUGGUCAAUGUUUGGUGCAAUUUUGUGUCUCCCAGUUUCUCCCUGAUAAGCUUGUGUAAGUACUUGCCGUUGUACUGUGGUCCAAACAGGGUUCUGCCCAACUUCAGGAUAGGUGAGAAUAAAUUGCUGCACCAAUUACACUGCAUAUUAGUACAUAUACUGGUAGAAUUUUUUUUAUGACAAAGAUUAAUAAUUAGUUUAAUUAUAUUAAUUUUGUUAUUGAAAUAGAUUUGAAUUCACAAGUUUUUUUUCUCCAUUUAAUCACUAAGUUAAAUAAAAAAUAGUUCAUACAUUAUUUAAUCAACUGAAGGAGAUGGAUUCCAUUGACACAAGCAAACCAACCUUAAUCAUAACAAUAUAUAUUUUGAUUGAUUAUUUGAUUUGGUGAAGUUUAUGGUUAAAGUAUAUAUGCUACUUACUUAUUUUGUGGGAAGAUUUUAGGGGUAUGAUCAAGGUAGAAAUCCUUAAUAUCCUUGGCUGCAUACAAGGGUCGGUUAUUUUCAUCUGGAGCAGUGAGCAUUGCAGUCACUAAUCCUCCAGUACUUGUUCCCGCAAUCACAUCAAAGUAAUCUGCCAAUCUUACAUGAUCAC
rnacentral:lncRNA from 1 species